GGUUAAGCGACUAAGCGUACACGGUGGAUGCCCUGGCAGUCAGAGGCGAUGAAGGGCGUGCUAAUCUGCGAUAAGCGCCGGUAAGGUGAUAUGAACCGUUAUAACCGGCGAUACCCGAAUGGGGAAACCCAGUGUGACUCGUCACACUAUCAUUAACUGAAUCCAUAGGUUAAUGAGGCGAACCGGGGGAACUGAAACAUCUAAGUACCCCGAGGAAAAGAAAUCAACCGAGAUUCCCCCAGUAGCGGCGAGCGAACGGGGAGGAGCCCAGAGCCUGAAUCAGCAUGUGUGUUAGUGGAAGCGUCUGGAAAGGCGCGCGAUACAGGGUGACAGCCCCGUACACAAAAGCGCAUGUGCUGUGAGCUCGAUGAGUAGGGCGGGACACGUGGUAUCCUGUCUGAAUAUGGGGGGACCAUCCUCCAAGGCUAAAUACUCCUGACUGACCGAUAGUGAACCAGUACCGUGAGGGAAAGGCGAAAAGAACCCCGGCGAGGGGAGUGAAAAAGAACCUGAAACCGUGUACGUACAAGCAGUGGGAGCCCCACCACCAAAGCAUUCUCUGGUGUUGAAGGCCCUGCAAAGCAGCAUCGCGGUGGCGGAGCGUCGUUUGCGACGCCCAACACACAAAACAAGCGGUGAAUGCUUUGGGGUGGGGUGACUGCGUACCUUUUGUAUAAUGGGUCAGCGACUUAUAUUCUGUAGCAAGGUUAACCGAAUAGGGGAGCCGGAGGGAAACCGAGUCUUAAUUGGGCGUUAAGUUGCAGGGUAUAGACCCGAAACCCGGUGAUCUAGCCAUGGGCAGGUUGAAGGUUGGGUAACACUAACUGGAGGACCGAACCGACUAAUGUUGAAAAAUUAGCGGAUGACCUGUGGCUGGGGGUGAAAGGCCAAUCAAACCGGGAGAUAGCUGGUUCUCCCCGAAAGCUAUUUAGGUAGCGCCUCGUGAAUUCAUCUCCGGGGGUAGAGCACUGUUUCGGCUAGGGGGCCAUCCCGGCUUACCAACCCGAUGCAAACUGCGAAUACCGGAGAAUGUUAUCACGGGAGACACACGGCGGGUGCUAACGUCCGUCGUGAAGAGGGAAACAACCCAGACCGCCAGCUAAGGUCCCAAAGUCAUGGUUAAGUGGGAAACGAUGUGGGAAGGCCCAGACAGCCAGGAUGUUGGCUUAGAAGCAGCCAUCAUUUAAAGAAAGCGUAAUAGCUCACUGGUCGAGUCGGCCUGCGCGGAAGAUGUAACGGGGCUAAACCAUGCACCGAAGCUGCGGCAGCGACGCUGAUGCGUUGUUGGGUAGGGGAGCGUUCUGUAAGCCUGCGAAGGUGACCUGUGAGGGUUGCUGGAGGUAUCAGAAGUGCGAAUGCUGACAUAAGUAACGAUAAAGCGGGUGAAAAGCCCGCUCGCCGGAAGACCAAGGGUUCCUGUCCAACGUUAAUCGGGGCAGGGUGAGUCGACCCCUAAGGCGAGGCCGAAAGGCGUAGUCGAUGGGAAACGGGUUAAUAUUCCCGUACUUGGUGUUACUGCGAAGGGGGGACGGAGAAGGCUAUGUUGGCCGGGCGACGGUUGUCCCGGUUUAAGCGUGUAGGUGUGUGUUCCAGGUAAAUCCGGUUCACUUUAACACUGAGGCGUGAUGACGAGGCACUACGGUGCUGAAGCAACAAAUGCCCUGCUUCCAGGAAAAGCCUCUAAGCAUCAGGUAACAUCAAAUCGUACCCCAAACCGACACAGGUGGUCAGGUAGAGAAUACCAAGGCGCUUGAGAGAACUCGGGUGAAGGAACUAGGCAAAAUGGUGCCGUAACUUCGGGAGAAGGCACGCUGACACGUAGGUGAAGUGAUUUACUCACGGAGCUGAAGUCAGUCGAAGAUACCAGCUGGCUGCAACUGUUUAUUAAAAACACAGCACUGUGCAAACACGAAAGUGGACGUAUACGGUGUGACGCCUGCCCGGUGCCGGAAGGUUAAUUGAUGGGGUCAGCGCAAGCGAAGCUCCUGAUCGAAGCCCCGGUAAACGGCGGCCGUAACUAUAACGGUCCUAAGGUAGCGAAAUUCCUUGUCGGGUAAGUUCCGACCUGCACGAAUGGCGUAAUGAUGGCCAGGCUGUCUCCACCCGAGACUCAGUGAAAUUGAACUCGCUGUGAAGAUGCAGUGUACCGCGGCAAGACGGAAAGACCCGUGAACCUUUACUAUAGCUUGACACUGAACAUUGAGCCUUGAUGUGUAGGAUAGGUGGGAGGCUUUGAAGUGUGGACGCCAGUCUGCAUGGAGCCGACCUUGAAAUACCACCCUUUAAUGUUUGAUGUUCUAACGUGGACCCGUAAUCCGGGUUGCGGACAGUGUCUGGUGGGUAGUUUGACUGGGGCGGUCUCCUCCUAAAGAGUAACGGAGGAGCACGAAGGUUGGCUAAUCCUGGUCGGACAUCAGGAGGUUAGUGCAAUGGCAUAAGCCAGCUUGACUGCGAGCGUGACGGCGCGAGCAGGUGCGAAAGCAGGUCAUAGUGAUCCGGUGGUUCUGAAUGGAAGGGCCAUCGCUCAACGGAUAAAAGGUACUCCGGGGAUAACAGGCUGAUACCGCCCAAGAGUUCAUAUCGACGGCGGUGUUUGGCACCUCGAUGUCGGCUCAUCACAUCCUGGGGCUGAAGUAGGUCCCAAGGGUAUGGCUGUUCGCCAUUUAAAGUGGUACGCGAGCUGGGUUUAGAACGUCGUGAGACAGUUCGGUCCCUAUCUGCCGUGGGCGCUGGAGAACUGAGGGGGGCUGCUCCUAGUACGAGAGGACCGGAGUGGACGCAUCACUGGUGUUCGGGUUGUCAUGCCAAUGGCACUGCCCGGUAGCUAAAUGCGGAAGAGAUAAGUGCUGAAAGCAUCUAAGCACGAAACUUGCCCCGAGAUGAGUUCUCCCUGAGACUUUAGGUCUCCUGAAGGAACGUUGAAGACGACGACGUUGAUAGGCCGGGUGUGUAAGCGCAGCGAUGCGUUGAGCUAACCGGUACUAAUGAACCGUGAGGCUUAACCUU
rnacentral:rRNA from 1 species